rnacentral:rRNA from 1 species
CCUGCGGAGGGAUCAUUACCGAGUUUACAACUCCCAAACCCCUGUGAACAUACCUUAUGUUGCCUCGGCGGAUCAGCCCGCGCCCCGUAAAAAGGGACGGCCCGCCGCAGGAACCCUAAACUCUGUUUUUAGUGGAACUUCUGAGUAUAAAAAACAAAUAAAUCAAAACUUUCAACAACGGAUCUCUUGGUUCUGGCAUCGAUGAAGAACGCAGCAAAAUGCGAUAAGUAAUGUGAAUUGCAGAAUUCAGUGAAUCAUCGAAUCUUUGAACGCACAUUGCGCCCGCCAGUAUUCUGGCGGGCAUGCCUGUUCGAGCGUCAUUUCAACCCUCAAGCCCAGCUUGGUGUUGGGAGCUGCAGUCCUGCUGCACUCCCCAAAUACAUUGGCGGUCACGUCGAGCUUCCAUAGCGUAGUAAUUUACACAUCGUUACUGGUAAUCGUCGCGGCCACGCCGUUAAACCCCAACUUCUGAAUGUUGACCUCGGAUCAGGUAGGAAUACCCGCUGAACUUAAGCAUAU